AACGAACGCUGGCGGCAUGCCUAACACAUGCAAGUCGAACGAAGUCUUCGGACUUAGUGGCGCACGGGUGCGUAACGCGUGGGAAUCUGCCCUUGGGUGCGGAAUAACUUCUCGAAAGGGAUGCUAAUACCGCAUAAUGUCGUAAGACCAAAGAUUUAUCGCCCAAGGAUGAGCCCGCGUAAGAUUAGCUAGUUGGUGGGGUAAAAGCCUACCAAGGCGACGAUCUUUAGCUGGUCUGAGAGGAUGAUCAGCCACACUGGGACUGAGACAGGCCCAGACUCCUACGGGAGGCAACAGUGGGGGAAUAUUGGACAAUGGGCGAAAGCCUGAUCCAGCAAUGCCGCGUGAGUGAUGAAGGCCCUAGGGUUGUAAAGCUCUUUUACCAGGGAUGAUAAUGACAGUACCUGGAGAAUAAGCUCCGGCUAACUACCGUGCCAGCAGCCGCGGUAAU
rnacentral:rRNA from 1 species